UGUAGUUGAUAGAUAUCACCAACAUCAAUUUUCACUCAAGUAACGAGACUGUUGAAUAUGAUGUAGUCGAAAUCAAUAGGGGCGGCAGCGGAGUGGGCAAUUGUUUAUGAAAAAGUCUACAGUACCAAAGAUGGGACUCCUGUUACUGCCUAAGUGAGAGAGAACAUUGCUAGGAUGAAAGAAAUUUUGAAUGAAGAGGGCACACCACUACGAGGAGAGCAUGGUGGUGGAAUCCUAUGGUCUAAAGAUGAUGCGUUUGCUCGAGUGACGGGUUUAGAGCGCUGUGGACUUGUAUGUGGGGUGAGUUUUGGACCAACCACAUCAGGAAGAAGUGGGUUAAACCUUUCACGGUAUACAUUGACUCCACCGUCUCAAGCAAAA